rnacentral:rRNA from 1 species
GACGAACGCUGGCGGCGUGCCUAAUACAUGCAAGUAGAACGCACAGUUUAUACCGUAGCUUGCUCCACCAUAAACUGUGAGUUGCGAACGGGUGAGUAACGCGUAGGUAACCUGCCUGGUAGCGGGGGAUAACUAUUGGAAACGAUAGCUAAUACCGCAUAAUAUUGAUUAUUGCAUGAUAAUUGAUUGAAAGAUGCUAUUGCAUCACUACCAGAUGGACCUGCGUUGUAUUAGCUAGUAGGUGAGGUAACGGCUCACCUAGGCGACGAUACAUAGCCGACCUGAGAGGGUGAUCGGCCACGCUGGGACUGGGAGACGGCCCAGACUCCUACGGGAGGCAGCAGUAGGGAAUCUUCGGCAAUGGACGAAAGUCUGACCGAGCAACGCCGCGUGAGUGAAGAAGGUUUUCGGAUCGUAAAGCUCUGUUGUAAGAGAAGAACGGGUGUGAGAGUGGAAAGUUCACACUGUGACGGUAUCUUACCAGAAAGGGACGGCUAACUACGUG